UAUAUAUUAUUUUUUUAUUUAUCAUGAGCAGUCACAUUAUUAAAAAGAAAAUAUUAGUCUGCUACUCGAUUUUAGUAGAUUUGUAAUGUAAUAAU